UACGUAGGGUGCGAGCGUUAAUCGGAAUUACUGGGCGUAAAGUGUGCGCAGGCGGCCGCGCAAGUCGAGUGUGAAAGCCCCGGGCUUAACUUGGGAAUUGCGCUCGAAACUACGUGGCUGGAGUGUGGCAGAGGAAGGUGGAAUUCCACGUGUAGCGGUGAAAUGCGUAGAGAUGUGGAGGAACACCGAUGGCGAAGGCAGCCCCCUGGGCUGAGAUUGACGCUCAGGCACGAAAGCGUGGGGAGCAAACAGG
rnacentral:rRNA from 1 species